rnacentral:rRNA from 1 species
GACGAACGCUGGCGGCGUGCUUAACACAUGCAAGUCGAGCGGAGCGGCGAACGGGUGAGUAACGCGUGAGUAACUGCCCCCCUCUCUGGGAUAACAGUUGGAAACGGCUGCUAAUACCGGAUAGUGGGGGAUGACUAGCGUGAUAUCAGAUUGUGGGUGGGGUGGUGGCCUACCAAGGCGACGACGGGUAGCCGGCCUGAGAGGGGGACCGGCCCCAUUGGGCUGAGAUACGGCCCAAACUCCGACGGGAGGCAGUAGUGGGGAAUAUUGCACAAUGGUGGAAACUCUGAUGCAGCAACGCCGCGUGCGGGAUGACGGCCUUCGGGUUGUAAACCGCUUUCAGCCAUGACUCGUUAGUGGCAGAAGAAGCACCGGCUAACUACGUGCCAGCAGCCGCGGUAAUUC